CUGUGGCGUCUAUGUUUUUAUACUGUCCAGAUUUGUGCUGCCUUUACCAUAUUUUUCGAUUGUGUAAAAUUGACGCAUUCACC